UACGUAGGGUGCAAGCGUUAAUCGGAAUUACUGGGCGUAAAGCGUGCGCAGGCGGUUAUGCAAGACAGAGGUGAAAUCCCCGGGCUCAACCUGGGAACUGCCUUUGUGACUGCAUAGCUAGAGUACGGUAGAGGGGAUGGAAUUCCGCGUGUAGCAGUGAAAUGCGUAGAUAUGCGGAGGAACACCGAUGGCGAAGGCAAUCCCCUGGACCUGUACUGACGCUCAUGCACGAAAGCGU
rnacentral:rRNA from 1 species